rnacentral:sRNA from 1 species
CUAAGUAAAAGUCGAAACAAGGUUUAGGUAGGUGAACGUGAGGAAGGAUCAUUAUCGAAUUUCAUCUACUUGGUUGCUGCUGGUUCCACUAUGGUUCAUGUGCAUCUUGGUCAUUUAGAGUUUUUAAAAGUCGUAGCACGGAUACAACAUGAAUAUUGCUAAAGAUGAUCAUCUUCUUCUCCUCGAGGGGCUAGGGUUAGCGUAGUCUAUCGCAGGUCGUUCAUGGUAUAGCCCUCUCACACAAUCCAUCUCACCCUUUGUGCAUCACCGCGUGGGUCCCCCUUUGCCGGAGGGCCCGCGUCUUUACACAAAACUCGAUACAGUGUAGAAUGUUUAUUUUCGCCGUCGCACGCGAUCAAUAAUACAACUUUCAACAACGGAUCUCUUGGCUCUCGCAUCGAUGAAGAACGCAGCGAAAUGCGAUACGUAAUGUGAAUUGCAGAAUUCAGUGAAUCAUCGAAUCUUUGAACGCACCUUGCGCCCCUUGGCAUUCCGAGGGGCACACCCGUUUGAGUGUCGUGAAAUCUUCAAAAACCCUCUCUUUUGAGGAUUUUUGGACUUGGAGGUUCAAUGCUCGCUUUCUUCUUUUAGGAAGCGAGCUCCUUUCAAAUGAAUCAGUGGGGUCUGCUUUGCCGGUCCUUGACGUGAUAAGAUGUUUCUACGUUUUGGAUUUGACAUCGUCCCGCUCCCCAUCGUCCCACGGACAAAAGGAUGGUGCUCCGGUCGCGGGUCAUCGCUUGGGGCUGGACCCACGAAAUAAAAACAUGACCUC